rnacentral:rRNA from 1 species
GCAUGGUCAUAACAUAGCGUUAAUGCACCAUAUCUCGUUACAACUCCACAGUUAAGUGCACUCAAGCUAGAGUAGAACUAGAUAGGUGACCGCCCGAGAAGUCCUAGUGUUUUACAUGCC